GGUAGACCUCACAGGGCUGUGUUGAAGACGAAAUGAGGCAGACACGCCAGGAGCCCAGGACAGUGUACGGCACAUGCUUCUCUUCAGUUUUCUUCAGCGCCUGUUGCAUCCGUUCUGUCUACGAAGUUCUUGCUGGAUUGGAUGCUGAGUGAUAGCCCGAGGUUACCGGCCUAGAGUGGAGCCUUGUUACCAGACGGAAGGGGCCCGUGUGCCUGCGCCCACCAGAGCAGGGUUUCGCAGCUCAGAAGGCCCCAGGCUUUGCCGCCAACAUCACUUGAUGCUGACCAGCACCCCGCUGUCCCGAGGGCUUGCUGACUGAGCGGACCUGCAGGGGAGGAGGAGGCCGGGGACUCAGGGUGCCGGGUGACGCCCUUUUGAAUCAAAGAGAAAGACUGGAAAUGAAGUCUUAUUAAAGAAAUGAAGUUUCUGUGAGUUACAGUUUCCCCCUCCCGCGAGCUCAUACACAUCUCACUCGGCGUCUAAGAACCUUGCUACCCCCUGGGCAUCAGACCCGGGCAGCACGCUCUCAUAGACGGAGUGGGCCACGUGGUGACCUGUGGGAGGCCGGGACACUCGAGAACCCCUGCUGCCCUUGUGGCAGAGAGCCGGAAAGUUGACUUGACUCGCGGCAAGAUCGGGAACGUGCGGUGCCGGCCCCGCUGGGUCUGAGGACACGGAUGUGGUGGUUCGUGCAGAUCGACACAGCGGUGGAACGUGCUUGCCAGAUGACAAGCCAGAGGGACAGUCACCAGGGGCCGUGGCAGCUGAUUCCAGGAGAUACUUCAGAUGCAACGCAGCUCUAAGUGGAGCCACCUCUGUUGAGUUUCCAGUACUCUGCAGUCACCCUCUGUGGUCCAUCCACUUCCACCUCCGCCAGAGAGCCUUCAGAGUCGGUGCUGGUUACCCACCUCUCAAAAGAACACACACGGCUUCACGCGAUGUGGAUAUUUUGUUGAGAGGGAAACGAACCGUUCUCCCACGGGGGCCGUCCAUCGGCAGGUGUGUGGCGCUGGCUGUCAGCGGCUCGCGGCACGGGGCACACGGGCCAGUGCGUGGGGACGCUGUUCUCUAUUGUGUCUGGUCGCUGGAAGCAGAUGCUUUGUCAUUGCGUGAACUCGCUUGUCCGUAGCUGCUUUACUAGGAAGCCGUGAAGCCACACUGCCCUGAAGGAGGCUUCGAGUUUUCUUUACGGUCCGAGUAUGGGCUUUUGCCUCCUUCUGAGCUGUGUCCUCCAGCUUAGCCUGUAUCCGCCCGGAGGGGAUAGCUGGCUUCCCUCGCCAUGCUUUUGUUUUACUUUUCAGUGUGGUCAGAAUCUGGGCAAGGAGGAGAAGUG